rnacentral:rRNA from 1 species
CCUACGGGUGGCUGCAGUGAGGAAUAUUGGUCAAUGGGCGAGAGCCUGAACCCGCCCCGUCGCGUGCCGGAUGACGGCCCUACGGGUUGUAAACUUCUUUUGUCAGGGAGCAAUUGAGUCCACGUGUGGGCUUAUCGAGAGUACCUGAAGAAAAAGCAUCGGCUAACUCCGUGCCAGCAGCCGCGGUAAUACGGAGGAUCCGAGCGUUAUCCGGAUUUAUUGGGUUUAAAGGGAGCGUAGGUGGAUUGUUAAGUCAGUUGUGAAAGUUUGCGGCUCAACCGUAAAAUUGCAGUUGAAACUGGCAGUCUUGAGGACAGUAGAGGUGGGCGGAAUUCGUGGUGUAGCGGUGAAAUGCUUAGAUAUCACGAAGAACACCGAUUGCGAAGGCAGUUCACUGGACUGCAACUGACACUGAGGCUCGAAAGUGUGGGUAUCAAACAGGAUUAGAUACCCCAGUAGUC